rnacentral:rRNA from 1 species
UACGAAGGGGGGCUAGCGUUGCUCGGAAUCACUGGGCGUAAAGCGCACGUAGGCGGCUUUCUAAGUCAGGGGUGAAAUCCUGGAGCUCAAACUCCAGAACUGCCUUUGAUACUGGAGAGCUAGAGUCCGGAAGAGGUGAGUGGAACUGCGAGUGUAGAGGUGAAAUUCGUAGAUUAUCGGAAGAACACCAGUGGCGAAGGCGACACACUGGCCCAUUACUGACGCUGAGGCUCGAAAGCGUGGGGAGCAAACAGG